UUAAUGCAGGGAGAGUGUCUAAUAUCAGACAAAAGAGGAAGAGAUGCUAGAUGGGUAUGAAGAACAUGUCCACCACAGCUUCUCUGUCUCCAGCUUCAGCAUCAGAACAUUCUGUUUUAUUCUUUGUCAACUGAGAAACAAAAUUCAGUUCCUUCACUGAGUGAAAAAAAUCCUUCCCACUACAAUUUCUGUGCAAAAUUGUCGGAGUAACAUCUUGCCAUAUAUCUCUAAAUAUGACAAAAGCCUGAAUAGUAGCUAUGCCACUACUUUCCCAGUGAGAUGAGAGUGUUGUAUGAAUACAGCCCUUUGGAAUUGUGCAGUACAUGACCUAAACAACCUUACAAGGCAUCCCUAGAUGCUGACAUCGGAAGUUUUCCCCGAAGCCUCAGUUACCCACUGGUGUAAUACUAGCAAGGGUUUUUAUUUUCCAUGUCUCUUGUAGGUAAAUAGUCAUAAUCACCAUGACCUAACCACACAUUGCAUUUUUAAAACCUCUUUCUAAAUAGUUACCUAUUAUUGACUAAGUAAAACCCAACACUUGUCAUUGUGAGCUUAUCAUAACUUUAGGAAUAUUUACCAAAUCUGCUAUUUUAAAAAUUGCUAAUUUUAUCAGAUUAGGCUUUUUCAACCUUGGCUGCUGCACUUUAGAAUCCCCCGAGGGAUCUUAAGAAAAAAAAUUGAUUCCAAGGUCCCAUCGUCGACCAAUUAAAUCAGAAUAUCUAUUGCUUUGGGCCUGGUCUCUACCUUUUUUUAAAAAUGUAAGCGUCAUCAGAUUGGCCUCCAGAAGCAACCAAAAUUAACAUUGAUUGAGGUCUAUGUGAGCUAAUUGGUCUUCCCUAAACAAAAUUUAUCCAAAAUAGAUUAUGAGAGGCUUCAUAAAGGCUCAAAUAUAAGCAGUUUUUUGCCUUGUAUCCAGGCACAUACAGGACUUAGGUUUCCUCAGAUAUCUCAGUCAUCUGGAGAUGCAGGAACUCCAAGCAUCUUCCUAGCUGUGGGUCCUUGGACUCACUCCCAAGAGGGAUCCAAACUCCUUGUCCUUCCCGCCUCCGUGACACUUUGGCUGGCAAGGCUUAUCCUGCCAUUUGAACCCUGUGGUUCAUCUUUGCUGAUGAAGAAUCUUAGUAUCAUUUUCAUCUUAUACAGACUAAAGCUCAACACAGCGUACACUGUUUAACAACUGAAAGAAAUAUCUUGAGCUAGAACACUCUGCUGAAGCUCCCAUUUGUCUUAAUAUAUGUGCAGAGGUCCAUCAGAGCCCAGAAAUUGGUUUUGUACCAAGCAAGUAUAUCCUACUUGUCCAGCGUCAUAAAUCUACUAGCGAACCUGUGUUUAUUUAACUUAGCUUCUUUCUCAAAUGACUUCACAAAAUGUUAGUAACUGAAAGUCAGGUUCAGAAAGAAUUUAUUUUCAUGGUCUGAUCAGCAUUUUUAAUGACAGGAACCUGAUUACCAAAGUUUCUGCAUCUCCCCACCCCUUCUCUUCAGCCGUUGUUUAGAAGGCAUCAUUCUGACUCUAAUGGGGAUGUGAAGCAGAACUGGCACUGGCAGCUUGGAGGGACACCAGAGUUGUGAGGGGUCACAUUUGUCAGCCACUCACUCGCAGCUCUAAAAGGCAUGCUCUUAGUGUUUCACUAAGAAGAAAAGGAAAGAGCAAGCAAGGGGUGGAAAUAAAAGAAAGCAUGGUAUCCUUAACAAAAACGUUUUGGAGUAGCUGGUAAAGGAGGGAGGAAAGAUAAAGUUGAUCCACCCAUUACCAUAACUAUUGGCUGGAUCAUUGCCUUCUUUCUCGUUCCAAUCCUAAAUCAAAUUGUGGGGGGAUUCUAAGCUACCCCUAACCUGUCACGGAUGCUGGGGGGCUAAUCAUCGGGUCUUCACUUGCCCGUGUAGCACUCCUAUGCCACAACCUCCCUGCAGCUAACCAGUGUGAGGUGAAGCUUUUGCUCAGUUCCCUCGUCAAGGGUGAUGUGGGCUUUGUUCUGGGGCUCCCAAGGGCUGUCUCUAUGGAGCCAGGUCUUUUAUGGGGGCAGUGUGGUGGAGGGAAAAGAGCCUGGGCUUUGGAGCCUGAUACAUCUGCAGCUUCCUGGUUGUGAGCAGACAAACGGAAAACGCCUAGCAUGUGUAAAUGGGUUGUAACAAAUGAUAUCUAAAGACCAUACAAAUUACAUAGGAUCAAAGAGAAGACACCAGGAGAGAAAUCAUAAACAUAAAGGGGGUGAUGAGACAACAAACACCUUAGCAGGGCAAUUUAAUUUAAGCAAGUGAUUAAAGAGAGAAGAAAGCCGAGAAAGAUUGACAGCUGUAGAGAGAAUGACAUGAACUUAUUCAUUUUUUCUCUUGCAUCCAUCUUCCUGGAAAGUGAAAAUGGACUGAUUUUGAUGGCAGUAAAUCUUUGACUACCCAUAAUCUAGUCCCUUUGCACAAGUCAGCAAAGUAAGACUAGAAGGGACCUGGAAUUAGGAAUUAGGAGAUCUUUCUAAUUAUAGCUCUGACCCCAGUCAGCUGUUUAUAUUGUCAUAAAUAAUUUGGUGUUUUGAGGUCUUGGUUUUCUUAUCUGUAAAGAGGAUCAGAAAAACAUGUCUGCCUUUUCCCCAGGGGGUUUCAGUGCUCAGAUGAAAUAGUAUUUAUCCAUUUAUUUGCCUCAUUUAUUCAUUUAACAAAUAUCUAUUGUCUACUAUGCACCAAGAACUGUGCGAGGUGCUGGGGAUAUAGGAGUGAACAAUGCAGACUAAAGUCUCUGCCUUGUGGAGCCUAUAUUUCAGCAGUAGGAGAAAGAUAAUCAAGAAAUAAACGGAUAAAUACAUCAUAUGUCAGGUAUUGAUAAGCGCUGUGAAAAAGUAGAUAGCUAAGGGGAACAGAAUUACUGAAAAAGCUUUAUAAACUGUAAAGAACUAUACAAAUUUAAGAUUUUACCCUAAUUUCAGGCUUAAUUGAUUAAUAGGAUUAAGCUCAAAGUCUUUGGCACUGGGCAGUAUAUUUGAUUCUCCCAAGCAAGGGAAAUUCACAUUAUUGCUCAUUACAAGAUCAGUCUUUUUAAAAAGGCCUAAUUUUCCCACCUUUUCCUAGGUCCUUUUGUUGGCAUGAGGCUGCUGGGAAAGAACUCAACCCCCCUACACAGAGAGGAAUUUAAGUCAGCGUCAGAAAUAUCUAGGAUUUGAGUGUUUCCUGCAUCUUAAUUCCAUAGAAAAUCCUCUUUCUAUGUCUUUGGAAAGUUCUUUCUCUUUUUCUUUUUUUACCUUAAUUCCUAUCCUGGAAAAUAGGAGCAAUCUUUUUUUUUGUGGAUUACUCAGGACUUUGUUUUGUUCUUAGGCUGAUGAAGAUGGAAUCAUGUUAUCUUUGCAAGUGCUAUGUAUUAAAUAUUAAUCUUCAAUAGUGGUUAUACUCAGUUCAUUUUAUGUAAUUUCUUGAUUAAUGUUAAAAGCACACUUCUCAAACAUUUAUGAAUGUGCCUCUCAAUGGAAGACAUGUCUUUGAAAAGAGAUAAUAGCAAAUCACUCUAUUCUUCCACUAGGGUAGACACAAUUCAAUUACAAAGAGAGGCUGAGAAGCCAGUUGCGGAUUUGAUUUUAACACAGAAACAGAGUUGUCUUGCCCAGGAGGCUGAGUACCACCAACUCCAGCUGGGAGGAUUGUUUCCAUAUAAUUUGAGAGUUACCCCUGGGCAUUAAGGUGGCAGUUCUGCAAAAUCAAGGUUAUGGAAUUCAAAUUAAUUUAGAUACUCAUUCCAUUAAGCUGGGCUACUUUAGAAUGGAACUCCCUAUGUUAACAUUUAGUAGUAGUGGUUCAUGAUCUCUCAUUCUAAGAUGCUUUAAAUACUGUUUAGAUAACCUCUAGUUGCCGCAAUGUAGCUGACCUAUAGAGGUAUUUUCCAAGCCUGUUUAGCAGUGACAGGACAUUACCUUUCUCUCAAAGGUCAAGGAGGAGGCGAUGCAUAGGUACUGUGAACAACUCCUAUGGAGAGGUUUUCCUUCACUUGCUCCCUGGAGUCAAAGAACAAAUAUUAAAAGAAUUGAGAGAGUGUUUUAUAAGAGGAUGAGCCCCUAGAGUGAGGGGCAGGACUUUGAAAACGCCAUCUCUUUGCAUCAGUCACCAAGAUCAUUAGCUUUAAAUUGUUCUCAAAGCUUAAUUCCAGGGAUUUUCCCCUAACUUUGUUUCUCUGAAAAUUUGUGAUUUGUCUGAAGUGGGGAAGAACCUUGUAUUUUUAUUUUAAAAAAUUGCUGGGGAGGCUAAAAAUUAAGAUAACAUUGAGAUCAUAAAAUCUGAAAUCCAAUCUAAUGGUCUCAGCAUGAGGAUAUUUCUUAAAACAACAAUUUAUUAUCGCUUCCCUCCCUUCAAUCUAUUCUAUUUUUUUUUUUUUUUUGCUAAAGUGAACUGAAGGUUUUCUUUGUUAGAAAAUAAUAAAGUUUUACAUGAUACAAAUACCAAAUUAAACAGUGAUUUAAUUAAGCAUUAAAAUAUUUUCUGAAACAUUAUCUAUUUCUUUCUCAAGCCCUACUUCAAAAAUCAAUUACUUGCUUUGAAAAGCAGAAUAGUUUUUUCUUGCGUCUCUUAGCUGUGUGCCAUAAUUUCCAGUAUAAAUCUCAAUUCUUUUAAAACUAAGGAUCAUAGUCAAAUGGUCUGUUCCAUUUCUUCUUUCUUAUUUUUCCUACUUUUCUUCUCCAGUUCUCAGCUGACUGUGCAUGUGUGCACCUGAGGGAAAAGACCGACAUGUUAUUUUGAAUAAAGCUGUGCUAUAAAUUUGCCAGCGUAAGUGAGAGGAAUUCUCUCAGGCACACUCUUUUUUUCCCAUUUCCUCCAACCAUCUUGACCAGAGCUUCUCUCUACACGUAUUCCAAUCUUAUAAUUUGAAAAGAAAAAGAAAACAUUGUUCCAGCUCAUUCUGGCUUGAAAUAGGCCUUUGAAUGGUAUUUACAAAGAGUCAUUUCCAUGACAAUAUCAAAGCCCUCAGUUUCUAUUCUGUGUUAUAAAGAGGAAAGUCUCAUUCAAAUGACUCUUCAGAUCUGUAUUUUUCCAAGGUGUGAGAUUAAAGUGAAAUGAACCCAUAAAGAAAGUGGUUGGGAAAAACCAAUAAGCACACCCUGGGAUUCUUCCCUGGGGUGUUAAGAGUUUCCGUGUAACCCUCAGCAAUAUUUGUAUUAGUCCUCUGCUGAAUAUAAGAAUUAUAGAAAGUACUUUAAAUAAGGAAAUUGAAACUUUAUCUACUUCUAUUCUAGAUUCUUUUGAAAGUCCAGACAUACCUAAUAAAAUAAAAUCACAUUUGUAUAAAUAGUGGCACAUUUCUAAGAGAUUAGAAAAGUCAAAUAACUGAGGAAUUUGAAAGAUUAGUAUCUAGAGUGCAGUCAUAUCUAUUGUCUCUUUAAAACUGAUGAAAGUCAUCCUACAAAGGGAAUUCCAGCAUUUUCUGUAGUCCUAGGAACAGAAAACCUUUUUUCAUGGUGAGAUUUCUGAGCAGUAAUUCUGCUUUUGGUGUUUUUCACAAAACUGAAGAUAGUGAAAUAAAACAUAAAUAUGCUAAACUUUUAAAAUUUUUACUCUUUGAAAAGCUGUCUGGGGUUUCAGAUGGAAUUUCAGUCUUUUUCCUAUUUUGUGGGAAGGAUUUUGGCUUUUAAACUGCACAGUGAAUCUGACCCUCAAGAGGAAGAGAAUCUUGGGUGUACAUGGAACUAACGCUAUAAAUUUUCUUAUGUAUCUUCAAAUACUUUGAAGGAAACUACGUAGGAUGAGGGGACCGGUUCCUGCCCUCCCCCAACUCCCCCAAUCUGGAAAGUAAGAAGUGCCGUUGAACACAGUUUCAUAGUAAUUGCAUAAUUACUCUUUUUUUCUCACCAAUCCUAGCGUGCUAUUGGUGAGGUUCCGCAGUAUGGAAAAGAAGUCAUCUGAGAACUGAAUUCUAACCACUAAAAAAAUAUUUCCUGCUGCCACCUGCCUUUCCUCCGAAUUGUAAAAAGCCAUUUCAAAAAUUUCUGAGCAGUGACACAGCUGCAAAGAAUGAAGCGAUAAAAUAAUAGUUACAUAAUUACAACUAGAUUAACGUUAACGCCAAAGUCAAUGUUCUAACAUAAUUAACUUCUGCAUUGUUUUGUAAUCUUAAAAUACGUUUUUUGUAGGAGCUGUCUCAUUUUCCAAAAGACUAGGAAAUUUUGGGCAUAAGACUAUGCUGCAUGGGCAAGUACAGUACUGGAAGUCUUGAGGCAAAAUUCUUUGGCUGAUUUCAUUUGUAUGGCUUGGGAAAAGUUGACUUCUUGUGCCUCAGUUUCUCUGUUAAAGACAUAGAUAAAGAGACCCUUGGCUAACAAGGACAAAUAUUCUAAGUCUCAGAGUUAGGUUUUCCUUCUGAAGUUGAAACUAAAUGAGAAUGAGGAAUUAUGGUAAAUGAGGAAUAUAUUAUAAAAUGAAGAUAUCUGAGUUUUUCUCUUAGGUAAGCUGAUUCCUGUGCAGACCGUUUUCCUUGCAUCUGGUCUGAAUAAUUUUGCAGCCAAUACCUCAGACUGCAAAGCCCAUGUGUGGAAACCAUUUUAUUGGAGACAAUGUGCUUAGUGGAGUGAACACAGAGUUUGGAGUCAGAAAUUCCAACCCCAGCUUUACUUAACGUCCUUGGAGUCAUAGCAGGAUUUCAGAGAAACCCACUGGAGAUCAUCUGGUAUCUACACUGAACCAGCAUUCGGUGCCAAUAGAGGCCCAUUGAGCCCCCCAGGAUCACUGCAUUCUUCAGGUGACCCUGGGUGCACUUGGGCUCGUGUGUCCCGGAUCGGCUGCUGCUGUGGCAUUCUACUGGUGCUGAGGGAGAGGGCUGGAGUAAUGCUCGCAUUUGCCUCAUGCAGCCUCGUUGUUUGAUGUGAAACAUGGUUCUUGGGCUGGCAUUUUGCAGCAGCUACGUCAGUUGGUGGCAUAUUUCUGAUACUCUCUUCACGUCUUGCUGUUAACCAGCAGGAAGAUGACCUGAAACAGUGGGAAUUAGAAAGCUGUCCUUUGCUAGUGACAGAAGAGCCAAAGAUGGACAGGGCUCAGGUGGUCCAAAAGAGCUAUCUUCUUUUUGUUUUGUUUUGUUCUGUUUUCUCUUUUUUUUUGAGUGGUUAUGGCCACGCCUGGCUUCCAAGUUUUCAAAAUCCUAGUAGACACAAGAAAACAUUUCUUUUCAGUUUAUUGUGACACACAUAUAAGUCUUCAAAGCACUGUGUGCAGAAUAGUUUCCAAAUAUAAAGCUUGUGAGCAAGGUAGACAUUGCUGAGGUUCAUCUCCUAUGACCCUUUCUGUAGUGAGUAUGGCUGUGCCCUCAGAGAACAGAGACAUGGAGAAGCAUCUGAUUACAUCCAUUUCUCUCCAGGCUGACUCGACUGCCGCCACAAUACAUGGAUGUUGUGUUGCCACAUGGUGUCUACUUGUUGUGAAAUAGAAAUCUUGCUACACUUAAUCAUGUGCAUCCAGUAUGUUUGCUGGAUGACCCUAGGCCCACUGGAAUAUUUCACAACUCAUUCUAGACUUGUUUGGAAGCCUGGCUUCUCUGUUUCAGUCAAUAAAACCUGCAAGUAACCAUUUGCAAAGAAGAAGUGGAAACAAUCGACGAUGCAGAUGCCUGGACUCAGAAUAUGGUCUUUCUUCUAGUCCUUUCAGUUGCUCCCAAGUGAGAACUUGUACCUGAAUAAUGCAGACCUCCUUUGCAGGCAAUCCAAUAAAUUCAUCUUUGUUUCAGAUUGCUA